GAUGAACGCUGGCGGCGUGCCUAAUACAUGCAAGUCGAGCGAACAGACGAGGAGCUUGCUCUUCUGACGUUAGCGGCGGACGGGUGAGUAACACGUGGAUAACCUACCUAUAAGACUGGGAUAACUUCGGGAAACCGGAGCUAAUACCGGAUAAUAUUUUGAACCGCAUGGUUCAAUAGUGAAAGACGGUUUUGCUGUCACUUAUAGAUGGAUCCGCGCCGCAUUAGCUAGUUGGUAAGGUAACGGCUUACCAAGGCAACGAUGCGUAGCCGACCUGAGAGGGUGAUCGGCCACACUGGAACUGAGACACGGUCCAGACUCCUACGGGAGGCAGCAGUAGGGAAUCUUCCGCAAUGGGCGAAAGCCUGACGGAGCAACGCCGCGUGAGUGAUGAAGGUCUUCGGAUCGUAAAACUCUGUUAUUAGGGAAGAACAAAUGUGUAAGUAACUAUGCACGUCUUGACGGUACCUAAUCAGAAAGCCACGGCUAACUACGUG
rnacentral:rRNA from 1 species